GGUUAAGCGACUAAGCGUACACGGUGGAUGCCCUGGCAGUCAGAGGCGAUGAAGGACGUGCUAAUCUGCGAUAAGCGUCGGUGAGGUGAUAUGAACCGUUAUAACCGGCGAUUUCCGAAUGGGGAAACCCAGUGUGAUUCGUCACACUAUCAUUAACUGAAUCCAUAGGUUAAUGAGGCGAACCGGGGGAACUGAAACAUCUAAGUACCCCGAGGAAAAGAAAUCAACCGAGAUUCCCCCAGUAGCGGCGAGCGAACGGGGAGGAGCCCAGAGCCUGAAUCAGUGUGUGUGUUAGUGGAAGCGUCUGGAAAGGCGCGCGAUACAGGGUGACAGCCCCGUACACAAAAAUGCACAUACUGUGAGCUCGAUGAGUAGGGCGGGACACGUGGUAUCCUGUCUGAAUAUGGGGGGACCAUCCUCCAAGGCUAAAUACUCCUGACUGACCGAUAGUGAACCAGUACCGUGAGGGAAAGGCGAAAAGAACCCCGGCGAGGGGAGUGAAAAAGAACCUGAAACCGUGUACGUACAAGCAGUGGGAGCCUCUUUAUGGGGUGACUGCGUACCUUUUGUAUAAUGGGUCAGCGACUUAUAUUCUGUAGCAAGGUUAACCGAAUAGGGGAGCCGAAGGGAAACCGAGUCUUAACUGGGCGUUAAGUUGCAGGGUAUAGACCCGAAACCCGGUGAUCUAGCCAUGGGCAGGUUGAAGGUUGGGUAACACUAACUGGAGGACCGAACCGACUAAUGUUGAAAAAUUAGCGGAUGACUUGUGGCUGGGGGUGAAAGGCCAAUCAAACCGGGAGAUAGCUGGUUCUCCCCGAAAGCUAUUUAGGUAGCGCCUCGUGAAUUCAUCUCCGGGGGUAGAGCACUGUUUCGGCAAGGGGGUCAUCCCGACUUACCAACCCGAUGCAAACUGCGAAUACCGGAGAAUGUUAUCACGGGAGACACACGGCGGGUGCUAACGUCCGUCGUGAAGAGGGAAACAACCCAGACCGCCAGCUAAGGUCCCAAAGUCAUGGUUAAGUGGGAAACGAUGUGGGAAGGCCCAGACAGCCAGGAUGUUGGCUUAGAAGCAGCCAUCAUUUAAAGAAAGCGUAAUAGCUCACUGGUCGAGUCGGCCUGCGCGGAAGAUGUAACGGGGCUAAACCAUGCACCGAAGCUGCGGCAGCGACACUAUGUGUUGUUGGGUAGGGGAGCGUUCUGUAAGCCUGUGAAGGUGUACUGUGAGGUAUGCUGGAGGUAUCAGAAGUGCGAAUGCUGACAUAAGUAACGAUAAAGCGGGUGAAAAGCCCGCUCGCCGGAAGACCAAGGGUUCCUGUCCAACGUUAAUCGGGGCAGGGUGAGUCGACCCCUAAGGCGAGGCCGAAAGGCGUAGUCGAUGGGAAACAGGUUAAUAUUCCUGUACUUGGUGUUACUGCGAAGGGGGGACGGAGAAGGCUAUGUUGGCCGGGCGACGGUUGUCCCGGUUUAAGCGUGUAGGCUGGUUUUCCAGGCAAAUCCGGAAAAUCAAGGCUGAGGCGUGAUGACGAGGCACUACGGUGCUGAAGCAACAAAUGCCCUGCUUCCAGGAAAAGCCUCUAAGCAUCAGGUAACAUCAAAUCGUACCCCAAACCGACACAGGUGGUCAGGUAGAGAAUACCAAGGCGCUUGAGAGAACUCGGGUGAAGGAACUAGGCAAAAUGGUGCCGUAACUUCGGGAGAAGGCACGCUGAUAUGUAGGUGAAGCGACUUGCUCGUGGAGCUGAAAUCAGUCGAAGAUACCAGCUGGCUGCAACUGUUUAUUAAAAACACAGCACUGUGCAAACACGAAAGUGGACGUAUACGGUGUGACGCCUGCCCGGUGCCGGAAGGUUAAUUGAUGGGGUCAGCGCAAGCGAAGCUCUUGAUCGAAGCCCCGGUAAACGGCGGCCGUAACUAUAACGGUCCUAAGGUAGCGAAAUUCCUUGUCGGGUAAGUUCCGACCUGCACGAAUGGCGUAAUGAUGGCCAGGCUGUCUCCACCCGAGACUCAGUGAAAUUGAACUCGCUGUGAAGAUGCAGUGUACCCGCGGCAAGACGGAAAGACCCCGUGAACCUUUACUAUAGCUUGACACUGAACAUUGAGCCUUGAUGUGUAGGAUAGGUGGGAGGCUUUGAAGUGUGGACGCCAGUCUGCAUGGAGCCGGCCUUGAAAUACCACCCUUUAAUGUUUGAUGUUCUAACGUUGGCCCCUGAUCGGGGUUGCGGACAGUGUCUGGUGGGUAGUUUGACUGGGGCGGUCUCCUCCUAAAGAGUAACGGAGGAGCACGAAGGUUGGCUAAUCCUGGUCGGACAUCAGGAGGUUAGUGCAAUGGCAUAAGCCAGCUUGACUGCGAGCGUGACGGCGCGAGCAGGUGCGAAAGCAGGUCAUAGUGAUCCGGUGGUUCUGAAUGGAAGGGCCAUCGCUCAACGGAUAAAAGGUACUCCGGGGAUAACAGGCUGAUACCGCCCAAGAGUUCAUAUCGACGGCGGUGUUUGGCACCUCGAUGUCGGCUCAUCACAUCCUGGGGCUGAAGUAGGUCCCAAGGGUAUGGCUGUUCGCCAUUUAAAGUGGUACGCGAGCUGGGUUUAGAACGUCGUGAGACAGUUCGGUCCCUAUCUGCCGUGGGCGCUGGAGAACUGAGGGGGGCUGCUCCUAGUACGAGAGGACCGGAGUGGACGCAUCACUGGUGUUCGGGUUGUCAUGCCAAUGGCACUGCCCGGUAGCUAAAUGCGGAAGAGAUAAGUGCUGAAAGCAUCUAAGCACGAAACUUGCCCCGAGAUGAGUUCUCCCUGACUCCUUGAGAGUCCUGAAGGAACGUUGAAGACGACGACGUUGAUAGGCCGGGUGUGUAAGCGCAGCGAUGCGUUGAGCUAACCGGUACUAAUGAACCGUGAGGCUUAACCUU
rnacentral:rRNA from 1 species